rnacentral:rRNA from 1 species
UGCAGAGGAAGGAUUUGGAGGACAAUGACGCCCUUCGGGGUCUCUGUGAAGGUGCUGCAGGUUGUCGUCAGCUCGUGCCGUGAGGUGUCGGCUUAAGUGCCAUAACGAGCGCAACCCCUCUCCUUAGUUGCCAUCAGGUGAAGCUGGGCACUCUGGGGACACUGCCACCGUAAGGUGUGA